GUUUGAUGAUGAUAAGAAUUCACCAACUCUGAAACUUGGGUGUUGAAAGAAAAAUGAGCUUUUUAACUCUGAAAACC